rnacentral:rRNA from 1 species
ACUCCUACGGGAGGCAGCAGUGGGGAAUAUUGCACAAUGGGCGCAAGCCUGAUGCAGCAACGCCGUGUGAGUGAAGAAGGUUUUCGGAUACGUAAAACUCUGUCCUAAGGGAAGAAACAAAUGACGGUACCUUAGGAGGAACGCCCCGGCUAACUACGUGCCAGCAGCCGCGGUAAUACGGUAGGGGCAAGCGUUAUCCGGAAUCACUGGGCGUAAAGGGUGCGUAGGCGGCUUAGCAAGCCAGGGGUGAAAGGCAUUGGCUCAACCAAUGUAAGCCUUUGGAACUGUUAGGCUUGAGUGCAGGAGAGGUAAGUGGAAUUCCUAGUGUAGAGGUGAAAUUCGUAGAUAUUAGGAGGAACACCAGUGGCGAAGGCGACUUACUGGACUGUAACUGACGCUGAUGCACGAAAGCGUGGGUAGCGAACAGGAUUAGAUACCCUGGUAGCGACUGA